rnacentral:rRNA from 1 species
CAGUCGCCGCGGUAAUACGUAGGUGGCGAGCGUUGUCCGGAGUUAUUGGGCGUAAAGGGAGCGCAGGCGGACAUAUAAGUCCAUCUUAAAAGUGCGGGGCUCAACCCCGUGAGGGGAUGGAAACUGUAUGCCUUGAGUGCAGGAGAGGAAAGCGGAAUUCCCAGUGUAGCGGUGAAAUGCGUAGAUAUUGGGAGGAACACCAGUGGCGAAGGCGGCUUUCUGGACUGCAACUGACGCUGAGGCUCGAAAGCCAGGGGAGCGAACGGGACUAGAGACCCCCGUAGUCCCUGUCUCUUAUACA